CCUACGGGCGGCAGCAGUGAGGAAUAUUGCACAAUGGGGGAGAGCCUGAUGCAGCGACGCCGCGUGAAUGAAGAAGGAUUUCGGUAUGGAAAACUCUAUCAACAGGGGAAUAAAGUGCGGAACGUGUCCAAUAAGCCCCGGCUAACUACGUGCCAGCAGCCGCGGUAAUACGGAGGGAGCAAGCGUUAUCCGGAUUUACUGGGUGUAAAGGGGGCGUAGACGGUUAUGUAAGUCUGGAGUGAAAGCCUGGGGCCCAACCCCGGGACUGCUGUUGAAACUGUUUAACUGGAGUAUAGGAGGGGUAGGCGGAAUGCGUGGUGUAGCGGUGAAAUGCGUAGAUAUCAGGCGGAACACCGGUGGCGAAGGCGGCUUGCUGGACUGAAACUGACGUUGAGGCUCGAAAGCGUGGGGAGCAAACAGGAUUAGAUACCCGGGUAGUC
rnacentral:rRNA from 1 species